AAACGAUGUCAACUAGCUGUUGGGGCCUUCGGGCCUUAGUAGCGCAGCUAACGCGUGAAGUUGACCGCCUGGGGAGUACGGUCGCAAGAUUAAAACUCAAAGGAAUUGACGGGGACCCGCACAAGCGGUGGAUGAUGUGGAUUAAUUCGAUGCAACGCGAAAAACCUUACCUACCCUUGACAUGUCUGGAAUCCUCGAGAGAUUGAGGAGUGCUCGCAAGAGAACCGGAACACAGGUGCUGCAUGGCUGUCGUCAGCUCGUGUCGUGAGAUGUUGGGUUAAGUCCCGCAACGAGCGCAACCCUUGUCAUUAGUUGCUACGAAAGGGCACUCUAAUGAGACUGCCGGUGACAAACCGGAGGAAGGUGGGGAUGACGUCAAGUCCUCAUGGCCCUUAUGGGUAGGGCUUCACACGUCAUACAAUGGUCGGGACAGAGGGUCGCCAACCCGCAAGGGGGAGCCAAUCCCAGAAACCCGAUCGUAGUCCGGAUCGCAGUCUGCAACUCGACUGCGUGAAGUCGGAAUCGCUAGUAAUCGCGGAUCAGAAUGUCGCGGUGAAUACGUUCCCGGGUCUUGUACACACCGCCCGUCACACCAUGGGAGUGGGUUUUACCAGAAGUAGUUAGCCUAACCGCAAGGAGGGCGAUUACCACGGUAGGGUUCAUGACUGGGGUGAAGUCGUAACAAGGUAACCAAGGG
rnacentral:rRNA from 1 species